AUUGAACGCUAGCGGGAUGCUUUACACAUGCAAGUCGAACGAGUGGCGGACGGGUGAGUAAUAUAUCGGAACGUGCCCAGUAGCGGGGGAUAACUACUCGAAAGAGUGGAUAAUACCGCAUACUCUUGGGGAGGCCGAUGUCGGAUUAGCUAGUUGGUGGGGUAAAGGCUCACCAAGGCAACGAUCCGGAGCUGGUUUGAGAGGACGACCAGCCACACUGGGACUGAGACACGGCCCAGACUCCUACGGGAGGCAGCAGUGGGGAAUUUUGGACAAUGGGGGAAACCCUGAUGCAGCCAUGCCGCGUGUAUGAGAAGGCCCUCGGGUUGUAAAGUACUUUUGGCAGAGAAGCGGUAUCGGCAGAAUAAGCACCGGCUAACUACGUGCCAGCCGCCGCGGUAAUUC
rnacentral:rRNA from 1 species